AAGCAGUGCUCAAAUGGUAGAAAGCUGCCUCAACUCACCCUUACAAGAUUAAUACGAACUUCUGGUCAUGGUUGAAUGAAUAGAAUCAACACCAAUUCAUACCAAUGCACACCGAGUACCAUUUUCUUUGAUGCCAACCAUGAUUUGAGUCGGUGAAUCAAUCAUCUUCAUCGCUGAGCAAUGCAAAUGAAAAAGGAUAGAAUUUAUAACCAUCUCCCUCAUAGAACUUGUUUUGGAAUUCCACCCAAUGAAGUCGCAAAGCGUGUAGGAAAGCACUGAGAGUUUCCAUCACCAGCAACACACCAAUAGUUGCAAAAAUAAAGAUGA
rnacentral:misc_RNA from 1 species